rnacentral:lncRNA from 1 species
CUUUACAAAAUUCAGGCAUUUUUUUUUAUCUCACGACAUUGUCAUAUCAUAUCAGAAGCCAUUGAACUAGAAGACAUACAACAAUUCAAAUUCUUACUUACAGAAGAAACUUUAGUAUCCUCGAGUUUGCUUGCAAAGUAUUCAUAAACAGCACUAGAGCUACUCUUCUCAAGGUUUACAUUAAUCACAACAUUCUCAUGGCACUCACCGGCAGAGGGAAUAUGUCUAAGUACUGCUUUCCGAUGAUCGAACCCAAUAACCCUUAGACAGAUAAUAAUAAUUAAAUCAAUAUGCAAUCAAAACCACAAGAGAAAUGAAACAAAAUAACAUCAUCAUCAUUCAUCAAACAACAUAAAGGGCAGCUGAAGAAAAAAAUUGAUAAUAAUAUAGUAGGACAUGAAUAUUAACUUACUUGCAUUUUGAUUGAUGGGAAAGUUUAAAAAGGAAUUCCUUUGGAGGAAGAAAGUCAAGUAGAUAGCAUGUCUCAAGGCCUUCAAUGCACAAAUCUUCAACCCUGUUUUAACAAAUACAUUAGUAUAUCCAGGUAUCAUUGAAAAACAACAAGUUUCCAUCACCCCAUUUCACCCAUUACAAAAUUUCAAACACAAAAUCAAGUGAAGCACAGGAAUGAGGACCUGAAAUGCUCCAAGACAAAAAACACAGCACCCCAUUACAAAAAGCAAGGAAAUUUAAGAAGUUGAAGUAGAUGGGGUGUCAGAAAUGAACCUUAAAGCGAGAAAGGGGACCGAAGAGAAGGGCAAUAUGAGGCAAGGGAGAUUGUGACGAGUGUGGAAGAGGUGAGCAAAGAGAGCGGAAAAUGCUCCAGAAAAUGAAGGGUAAUUGUAGAGAACUUUUUUUAUUAGUAUAUAUUUAACAUUUUUCAUCUCUGAUAUUUACGAGAUGAUAUAUAGUUUUAUUUUAUAAGAAUAUAUCUACUCAAUCCAAAUUAUAAUCUUUUUUUUUAGUGAACCAAAUUAUAAUCUUUGUGAUAUACUCCGUGCCACCAGAUGAUGAGUAAUAGUUUUCCUAAUACUUAAUUUUAUAUAAAUCCAUGCCACCAAUUGGAGUAGAACAUGCGACCUGUGCGUGAAAAAAGGAUGUGUUUCCAGGUAUUUACAAAAAUGCCACCGUGUACAAGCUGUUUUCAUUUUCCAGAAUUUCAACAAGAAACGGUGGAAACGGUGAAAAUGAGAUUUUCACGUUUUCAGAUUUGGGCUCAUUUUGGAAAAUAUUUUCUGUGAAAACAUUUUUAAAAACUCAAGCAAACAUAUUUUCUUUAUUAUUUUCCGUUUUUAAUGAAAAUGAAAACAGAAAAUGGGGAAACCAAACAGGCUUAUAAACAACAAAGAAUAGUGUGGCAGAAACCAGUGCUUAUAAACAACAAGGCUGUAACUUGCAGUUCUGUCUUGUCCCCUUUUCACUGGGACUGUAAUUGAUACAUGCAUAUUUAGUGAUUAACGAAUCAUUGACUAAAAAAAAACAUUCCAAGUAAAAGCUCUCCACCAUGUCUAGUAUACUAAGAAUUAAGUUUAAAUAGAAUCUCGACAAUGCUUUUAGUCUACCAUCAACAUAAGGGUAAAUUGAAAUUUACCUGUGGAGCUGGAGGUUUGGCUCAAAUUACUUUUGCCUCCUUAUGAUUUGAAAGAUGAUACUUCACCCUCCUAAAGAGAGAACUCAUCUAUAUCUUUAUGUUAAUUAGCCACUAUAGAGCCUUUCAAAAGGCAUUGCCCAAGGUGGAUGAAAACUAAUUGUUCAAUAUGAAAUCUGGAACGUUUGUAGAGUUUCAAUGUCUUUAAUAGCUGACGAAAGUUACUAUAUAAGGAUGAUCAUGUCCUCUUUCUACACCACAAUGGUGAAGUUACUUUAAACCAACUUAAUGGAGGUAAGCAAUAAUGAACCCUUAAUAAUGCUCGUGAUAAUCAUAAAGAAAACAACUAUGCUCAUGUUGUCAAAUUUGACCUCUCCUGGCACGGAAACUGGUAAAAACAACCCAGCCUUGAGACAAAAAUAAGUACACACAUGACAAAAAAGAUGACUUUUUUUAAGAGGAUAUAAAAUAAGAGACAUAGCAAAGAAAGAAAUCACUGAAACUAAUUAUUAUAUAAUCCUACUUAAAUAUUGUUAUUUUCAGGUACUGGAUGAAAAUGAUAAAAUAAUGCACAAAACAAUGGUGGAGGAAAAUCCAACUAAAAGCUGUAAAGUUUGCCACAGCUGACUGUAAGAAACAAUGGCAGCAUCAGAAAUGUUUUUCUUCUCAAUUGGAAUAUUACAUUCCACUUCUUUGUCCUUGAAGCCAACCUCAAUAAUGGCUUGUUUACUUCCAAUAUAAAUGCUUCCUUCUUGCUCAAGCUCUACUUUCAUUCUCCCACCCACCUCAUUAUGUGCUGCAUCAGUAUCAGGCAGCAAAGUCUACACGACAUGAUAACACAGCCAUCAUCUUGGACAUCCAAUCGAGAAUGCAAGGGUUCUACAGUCAUCACAUCAUCUGUCUCUUCCUUAGCAAGCCAUUACAUUGUAACUUUGAUGAUUUCAAAUCUCUAAAGGUAGUGUGUAAAUUUAUCAAAUCAUCUUGUUUGUGUGACAGCACAUAGGCACACAAUCUCCAUGACGUAGAAUAUGACAACAAGAAAAAAAUUGAAAUCAAUAACUCGUCAAGAACAUUUGCUCCAAAAGAAACCAUUCUAGGUUGGUAAAAAAUUAAAACAAAAAUGUGGCCAUUCACACAAUUCUAUAAUCUAGUAUUAUUACCACAAAAAAAUACUAAUUAUACAGUCUCAAAUCUCAACAUGAAAUUUGAGGAUGCGAAAGCUUGUCUAGUAAUAGAAUAAGAUACACUACCAUAAAUAUUAAAGAAAAGGCCAGGAUUAGUUAUUCAAACCAAGAAAUCGUCAUGAUGACUUCAUUGAAAUCCAUUGAUUAUACUCGUCCAUUCUUAUUAUGAAGGAGCUUGAACUUGGAGAACCUCCUCCGCCAUAUGCCUUCCAGUUCCCAGAGAAGAGAACUCAUUAAAGUGUGUCCAAAUAUUAAACAAUCAAAAGAUAAGAAAAAGAACAUAGAACCAAGCAAGGCACACCUUUGCAACUUCAGAGGUAUCAGAGGCACUAUCAGUGCUGCGCAAGCACAUCUUGAGAUUAUUCCGUAGCAUGAAUAUCACAGAACCUAUGGGCCUGUCAAUGAUGAAUACAUCUAAUGGAUCAGGUUAUAUAAGUAAAAAUUCUUCAAUACAACUUAAAAAUAGGUUAUGGUGGCGGCAAGCAAUCAUAUCAAUAAGAUGCUUGUUAAAAGAACAUUGUUGAGAUUCUUCACUUAACCCCUAAGAACCUGAAUCAAAUAAAGAUACUGGGAAUCUUCCAACAGUUACUAUCAGAGGAAAAAUCGAUGAAUAUUUGGAACCAACAUAGGAUCUAACAGGGUCCGAGCAAUAAUCAAGCUCCAAAUGCUUAUUUUCAAGAUAAUAAAGUCUCCAUAUAAGUAUGUCCAUUGAAUUUCACAUUAAUAUGACAGGAAAAGUUAACAUGCUGCAAGUGAUAAGUAUUAACCACCUGCGUUCUUCUUAAUGAAGCACUAACCCAAGAUCCUGACUCAAGUUCAAUGGAAAGCAGGUAUCCAGUGUUCACAAAUUUCAGUGUAAUGUACCAGAGACACUGGAAUGGAUAUCACUUUUAAGGACUUUUAUAUUUAAGGGCCUGGAUAUAAGAAUUUGCUAUUUGUUUUUUGGGACAAAAAACCAGGUGAAUAUAAAUGAGAAAGCCUACACUAAUGCCAUUAUGCCACAAUGGAGCUUUUGAUCAUAAUAUAUUGCUAGCCCAUUGCCCAAGAUGAUAUUUCUAUCAUUACAAAAACUGCUGCCUUUGUAGUUCAGGCAAGAACUUCCAUAUAUAAUUAUCAUUCCAAUCACCAUGCUCAUGAAAAUCUGAAGAGUUAUAGUCAAGCUUUAAUUGAACUUUUCUUGCUGUCAGAAAACCUCAGGAAACAUCAUUUUUCUAACAAAGAUAGACAUAAAGUGAAUAAAAAUUUCUUCUAAAUAAAUCAACCCACCUCAGACCAGCAGCAGCACUUUUUGCACUAAGAAGCUUGCCAAUUUCAUCACUCAAGUUAGGGUUCCCAUCUGCUCGGACUCCCUAUCAACAUUUACGGCAACAAAGCUUGAUUGAAAAUUUCAAUCAAAAAAUCAGGGGUGGGGGCACAACAUCACAAUUGUAUGAUGUGAUUAAAAUCAAUCAAACUGGCAAGAAUUAGUUAUAAAUUAAACACUACAAAAGCAGCAGAGAAAGUUCUUGGCAGUAUUUGAAUUUCAUACAUAAUUAUUUAAGUAAAAAUAGAACAAACUUGUAGUGCAUGUUUGGUUAUGGAUCUAUUUACCAAAAGCUUCCCCACGAAGUGUCAAAAAAUAAAAUUUCAAAAUGGUAAUCCAAACACGUACUUAGUAAAAAAUAUAUAGCAUUUAACAAAAAUACAAAUUCAGAUUGUUAUAUAUCUGAAAUAUUACCAGGCACUCUCCAUAAAAUCCUCUACCAAGCCGAAUCCUGAAAACUUUUUGCAGCAAUUUACUUGCAGCAUUCUGGCGAGCUGAAAAAUAUGAAUUUCCUUUAGCAAUUAACUCUUCAGCGCUCAGUUCCAGCAACUGCAAUGAAGAUUUUGUAAAGGAAAGGAUAUUCAGCAAUAACCACUGCAAUAUAAAUGCAAGUAAGCAAUAAAAUAGUAAGGACAAAUGUUUUUGCUUUUUGAAAUAUUACAUAUUCAGACAUGUAAAUGCAAGUAAGCAACAAAAUAGAUGGUGCUAUGGCCUGAAGAGUUGCAAUAUUAGUGUAUGAAAGUGUAAUACAAAGAAUAGGAAUUUGUAUUAGUCAUGCUCACUUCAAACAACCACUAAACCAUCAAAUUGGUUUUUUCUCUUCCCGAUCUGGAACCGAACAAAUAAUUCUACAACCUCAUGUUGCUGUCUUACAAAAACAAAUAAUUCUACCCUCCACAGUUGCUAACGAAACACAAUCAUUCUAAGAUGAAUCCUUAUUUAAGCUAUUUGACUUCUAGUAAACUAAACACUAUCAAGAAAAAAGAAAAUGCUAUAGAUACAACGAUGCAUAAACUUGUUUCUUAAUCCAUUUUUUUAUAUGAAUUUAAGUAAAAUCUAAAUUUUCAUUAAGCAACAACAAUAAUAAGACAAAGAAACUAGUUUAAGAGAAAAUCAUUCAUACCUGCUUAUACAUAUAUGGAUUAGAUAAACAAUUAAACCUUUCCCGCCAUUCAUGCAGUCCGGUGUUAAAGGCCUUAAUACCAGGCAAGCUCCAUCGCUGAAGAUCCCCAUCCUCAAUAUACUUUAGCAUCAGCUCCACACGGCCUUUGUCUUUUGAGUCCACCAAACUUGGAACCACACCCUUUACAAAAUUCAGGCAUUUUUUUUUAUCUCACGACAUUGUCAUAUCAUAUCAGAAGCCAUUGAACUAGAAGACAUACAACAAUUCAAAUUCUUACUUACAGAAGAAACUUUAGUAUCCUCGAGUUUGCUUGCAAAGUAUUCAUAAACAGCACUAGAGCUACUCUUCUCAAGGUUUACAUUAAUCACAACAUUCUCAUGGCACUCACCGGCAGAGGGAAUAU